UGGUUCUUCUGGCGUGGCUUGGAUUUGGGGGUUGCAGGCUUUGAACCAAAGUCAGCUCCCCUUGAAAGGAUUAGUGGUAACCAGAGUACCUUUGGGCGUGAUAAUUAUCUAUGCCUUGCUGUGUGCUGUGUGUGAGCUGCUUCCAACCGAGUGUUGACAAAUUUGACCUCAAAUCAGGUAGGACUACCCGCUGAACUUAA
rnacentral:misc_RNA from 1 species